rnacentral:rRNA from 1 species
AUUGAACGCUGGCGGCAUGCUUUACACAUGCAAGUCGAACGGUAACAGGCCUUCGGGUGCUGACGAGUGGCGAACGGGUGAGUAAUGCAUCGGAACGUACCCAGAGGUGGGGGAUAACGCAGCGAAAGCUGUGCUAAUACCGCAUGUGGUCUGAGGAUGAAAGCGGGGGACCGAGCAGCAAUGUUUGGCCUCGCGCCUUUGGAGCGGCCGAUGUCGGAUUAGCUAGUUGGUGGGGUAAAGGCCUACCAAGGCGACGAUCCGUAGCUGGUCUGAGAGGACGACCAGCCACACUGGGACUGAGACACGGCCCAGACUCCUACGGGAGGCAGCAGUGGGGAAUUUUGGACAAUGGGCGCAAGCCUGAUCCAGCAAUGCCGCGUGCGGGAGGAAGGCCUUCGGGUUGUAAACCGCUUUUGGCAGGAACGAAACGGUGUCCGCUAAUACCGGGCGCUAAUGACGGUACCUGCAGAAUAAGCACCGGCUAACUACGUG